AUUGAACGCUGGCGGCAUGCUUUACACAUGCAAGUCGAACGGCCGCGCGGGGCAACCUGGCGGCGAGUGGCGAACGGGUGAGUAAUAUAUCGGAACGUACCCAGAAGUGGGGGAUAACGUAGCGAAAGUUACGCUAAUACCGCAUACGAACUACGGAUGAAAGGGGGGGAGCUUCGGGCCUCAUGCUUGUGGAGCGGCCGAUAUCUGAUUAGCUAGUUGGUAGGGUAAAGGCCUACCAAGGCGACGAUCAGUAGCUGGUCUGAGAGGACGACCAGCCACACUGGGACUGAGACACGGCCCAGACUCCUACGGGAGGCAGCAGUGGGGAAUUUUGGACAAUGGGCGCAAGCCUGAUCCAGCAAUGCCGCGUGAGUGAAGAAGGCCUUCGGGUUGUAAAGCUCUUGUCAGGGAAGAAACGGCUGAGGAUAAUACCUUCGGCUAAUGACGGUACCUGAAGAAUAAGCACCGGCUAACUACGUGCCAGCCGCCGCGGUAAAAC
rnacentral:rRNA from 1 species